UUCCGGGUGGAGGCCGUCAUUCACUGCCAAUUCCUGGAAGAAUUACUUUCCCCAGACCCAGAGAUGGAUUUAUUGGCCCUAAACCAGGAGCUGGAGCAGGAGGAAGACCUCACCCUUGCCCAGGUAUGGUGACCGAAUGAUUAUGGGCCCAAACAAAAGGGCUGGGGCUACUUCAAGGCAUUGCACUUCUAAAUAUCAAAGCUAUAGCCAACUAGAGUGAUGAGCUGAUGUUGCAGACAGUGUGGGAUGCAUCAUUGGAUGCAAUGAUGAAAUUGAGGCUUGUCUUGAUACAAAAAGAAAUUUUUUGAAUAUACACUGCUUCUACAUACAGAAUACAUAACACUGACCCAGGCCUACAGAUGAAAUAAACCGAGCCUGAGAGAAGUCAAAUAAAUUGGCUAAAGAUAUACUACCAGUUAGAAAAUAAAGCAGAUAUCCAAUACCCAGUCUAUCCAUAGUCAACAUUUAGGGAAAUUGCUGUAUUCUCAUUUGUCAGAUGUUGAAAAAGGUAUUUCCUUUGAUAUGAAACACCCAGAGAGACAUGGAAAUAAAGUAAGUGGAUAUGUGUGAAAGUUAUUUUUUUAAAAAAUCUAAAUUGCUUGGCAUGGAAACCAUAGGUAGUGUAUCUUGACCACAUCCAAAGCAGCUUAUCAUUCAAAGGAGAUAUCCAAUAAGUACUUGUGUAUGAAUUUGCCUUUGACUGUGAAUUAAACAGAAGUUCAAUGAGAAGCAAACAAGUGGGUUAAAGUAGU